rnacentral:tRNA from 1 species
UAAAAGAUAAGCUAAAAUAAAGCUAAUGGGUUCAUACCUCAUUUAUGGAAAUACUCCUCUUUUUA